GCACUUGUUUGAGCAGUUCAGAAAGCUGAAAUUGGAACAGCAGAGAGAAGAUGAGCGUGGCCUCUGCGCAAGGGUGACAGGCAGGUCUGUGAAGUGCUCCGUGUUUUU
rnacentral:snRNA from 1 species